rnacentral:rRNA from 1 species
ACGCGAGGAACCUUACCAGGUCUUGACAUCCUCUGACACUCCUAGAGAUAGGACGUUCCCCUUCGGGGGACAGAGUGACAGGUGGUGCAUGGUUGUCGUCAGCUCGUGUCGUGAGAUGUUGGGUUAAGUCCCGCAACGAGCGCAACCCUUGAUCUUAGUUGCCAGCAUUAAGUUGGGCACUCUAAGGUGACUGCCGGUGACAAACCGGAGGAAGGUGGGGAUGACGUCAAAUCAUCAUGCCCCUUAUGACCUGGGCUACACACGUGCUACAAUGGAUGGUACAAAGGGCUGCAAGACUGCGAAGUCAAGCCAAUCCCAUAAAACCAUUCUCAGUUCGGAUUGCAGGCUGCAACUCGCCUGCAUGAAGCCGGAAUCGCUAGUAAUCGCGGAUCAGCAUGCCGCGGUGAAUACGUUCCCGGGCCUUGCACACACCGCCCGU